UUCUGCUGCUCUGCACACUAACUCCUUCACCACGAACAUUUAAUCAGGAAUGUGUUUAUCCAUAACCAGUAUAAACGCAAACAUUGCUAAAAUAUUUCUUUUUUUUUCUCAGGUCCUUUCAACUUCUGCUGCUCUGCACACUAACUCCUUCACCAGGAACAUUUAAUCAGGUCCUUUCAACUUCUGCUGCUCUGCACACUAACUCCUUCACCAGGAACAUUUAAUCAGGUCCUUUCAACUUCUGCUGCUCUGCACACUAACUCCUUCACCAGGAACAUUUAAUCAGGUCCUUUCAACUUCUGCUGCUCUGCACACUAACUCCUUCACCAGGAACAUUUAAUCAGGUCCUUUCAACUUCUGCUGCUCUGCACACAGACUCCUUCACCAGUAACAUUUAAUCAAAUUUUCUCAAUUCAACUAUCACUGCCCUGAUACUCAAAACAUCAUGAGUUUAAAAUACUCAUUCAUGUAAAUGAUUCACAAGUGGUUUUUUGUAAUGACUGCCUAUAAUUAUGCAUGAUUAACUUAAAUCUUAUUAACUCACUAACACGACUAACCUCACUAACUUAAUCAGUUAUUAUAAAAACCACUUGCUGAGUUUUACUAUGAAGGUCUUACUGAUGUUGCUUGAAAGACAGCGCUGACUAAUUUAUCAGGUUGAACAACUUCGAGCUAAGUAGUCUUCAACUCUGGAAUUACUCAAGACUUUUUCUCCAG